rnacentral:rRNA from 1 species
GACGAACGCUGGCGGCAUGCUUAACACAUGCCAGUCGAACGGGAAGGCCCUGUUUUUGUGGCGUACUCGAGUGGCAAGCGGGUGAGUAACCCGUGGGUAACCUGCCAACGACUGUGGGCUACCUUUAGUAAACCGUGGCUAAUACCGGAUAGGAGCUAAUGCUGCAUGGGGGGGGCUGGAAAGUGUCGGCGGUUGGGGUGGGGCACGAGGCUUAUAAGCUGGUUGGUGGGGGCGUGGCAUACCAAGGGUUUGACGGGAAGCCGGCCUGACAGGGGGACGGGCCACAAUGGGAGGACUGUAAGGCCCCGACGCCUCCGGGGGGCAGCAGUGGGGAAUAUUGUACAAUGGGCGGAAGCCUGAUGCAGCAACGCCGCGGGGGGGAUGAAGGACUUCGGGGUGUAAUCCGCUGUUGCCUGCGACGAAGCGGGAGUGACGGUAAUGGGUAAAGAAGCACCGGCUAACUCCGUG